rnacentral:tRNA from 1 species
GCGCCUGUAGCUCAGUGGAUAGAGCAGCCGCCUUCUAAGCGGCGGGUCGCAGGUUCGAUCCCUGCCAGGCGCGCCA